GAGAUCAGUUCAUCAAGUACUGCAGACAGCAAGGGCUGGGGUGAGCCAUCAGCCCCUCAAAACUAUGGUCUAGAACUGCCCUGGACCAUAUUAGUAAUGGUGACCUGGAGGUGAAAGGCUCUGUAUUCCAUUACCAGUCUCCUGAGUAAUCUACCUAAUUCAGUAUCCUUUCAUUUAAUUGAAACAUUAUUUUCUCUCUGUUAGCCAGGGCACUCAGGCUGGUAUAGCAGUGUUAAUCUUUCAGCUGAUUUCCAUCUUUGCAGAAUUACCUUUCUAGCAAUUAGACCCACUGGUAUAAAUUUGCCUUGCUCCUUCCUGGGGUUCAAUGUUAAAAUGGAAAUCUCCAAGCUCAAUGCGUUUUCCUCCAGGCUGACCCAGGGCAGAUAUUAAUUAACUGGGGUGUCGUGAAAAGGUUGAGCUUGAAAAGCCAAGUAGGAGAAUACUUCUCCUGGGAUGUCGUUGCAGCCAACAGAUGGACUAAAGAGGGUGAGACCCGGAUGGAGAAGAAUCGCAUUUAAAAUCAAGUGGAAGGACUGCGCCAUUAGUGAGCUGGGGAGCAAACCAAGGGUUGCCCUGGAAAUACGUUCAUUUUAAAAUUGCAAGCAAGAAUCAUUGACCUGAGCGUAGCAUCUGUUGAGACCCAGCCAUAGAGCUAACCAGGGUGCCUGAAGAUUUCCUCCUCCAAUGCUCUUGGCUUGAUUCUUUAAGCUCGCCUCAGCAUUCCUCAGGGCGGCAGAACUUCGAGAGGCACCACUCAAAAUUGUACUCAAUUAAAUGUCAGGAGGCAACCGUUCCAGGAAUUCCUUCACACACAAUAAAUGUGGAUAAUGCCCUCUGAAGUUGUCCAACAGUGAUACUGCCCACCUUGCGAAGAUGAUACACUGAGUUCUAAAGUUUAUUCUAAACGGAAUAAAACAAGAGCUAUAUGGGCCACUCUACCUUUUCAAAGAUCACAUUAAUUCUUCAUCCCAGUCACAGCACAGCUGAACCAUUGAAACAAUGUUGUCUUUUCAUAUCACAAAUCAUCCAAUCCCUUUAUAAGCAUAUGAAUUAUUUAAAUUGAUGAUCUCUGUUCAGUACAACCGCUGAACAUCAGGUAAAUAUAUGGUUGCAUAAUAAAAGAUGAAAUGUAGUAAGGUUCCAGCCAGAAAAAGACUCUCCAAACUCCCUCAUUUCAUUUUUGUUUAUGAUUUCUGAAAUUUCAAUAUUAUUUUUAUUUGGAUAAAAUACAGAAUAGCAAGAUUAAAAAAAAAAGAACUAAAAGUAGAAACUGGAAAUUAAAUAGCAUAGGUCACUUAAGAUUCUUUUCAAUAAUGACUCAAAUUGGCUUCAAGGUAGGCACCUGCCAAAAGAUGCUUCUUCCAGGAAGGAUUUUAGGAAAUUUCUCUAAAUGUAUAUAGUCUGAAGGCAAACAGAGAAGUUCACUAGAUCUAGAAUUAAGGUUGAUAGUGUUGUGCAGAAAAAGCUAACUCUACGUAUGAUGAACAAUCAGCUAUAAAUAAAACAAAAACAAAAAAAUAAAAUAUCAUUGUAUACUUGCCCAGCUUCAUUCCAUAACUAUAAACUACAAUCUCCUAAAAAGUACCUCUGAGCAUAAGUAAACUGAGGAUAGGUUCUUUUACUCUUGCUCAGUUCCCUAAAAUGAGAGACAAAUGUGGACAGACUUAACUCUCCACAAGGCAAUUUGAUUGAUAUUCACUACUUUCUCUAGUGCUUAUGACUUCCAAUCCAAUGAGAUUCUUGGCAAGUAAACUUUCCAAACACUCUAUCUAAGGCUCACCCUGUGAAGACUCCCUGACACCCUUAUUAAAUGUUAACACAUUCCACUUUUCUCUGCAACUUUAUCCACUUCCAAAAAGAUAUAUCCCUGUGCUAGGGGCUGUUAAAGAUACUCUGUAGAUGGGAGAUGAAGUUCCUGCUCAUCAGACAUGUACAGUGCUGAUGGAGAAAAAGGUUUACAUUCAGAGUAGUAGAAUCAAGCAGGCAUUUUUCUGUAACCCAUGGGAAUGAAAACAAAAGGGGGCGGGGGGAGAAAGUGAGCAUGGGUAGAAGACCAAGGAAAAAUUGACACCUGGCCUGUCCUGGAGGGCUGAUGGCAUUCCAGCUGCUGGGAGGACUCUGAAUGCUGACACUGCAUCACUCGUUCAUUGUGAAUACCAUGUAAGAUGUCCAGUGUAUCCAGAAAUAGUGGCCCUAAUUUCUGUUUUCCCCCUACAUUCUUCUCUUUAGAGUCUUAAUAACAAUCAGGAGCAGGGUAAAGCAGAUGGUGAUGGGUUUGUUUCUAGGUUCACCCUAUUCACCCCUCCAAUACUGAGUUUAUAGAAUGAUCACAGGUGGAACAGAGUUUAUACCCAAGGAAAGAUACCAAGUGUUUUUGACCCCACUCCUCAGGUUCUUUUUUUUUUUAAUUUAAUUUAAUUUUUUAUUUUUUUUAAUAAAUUAAUUUUUUAUUGGUGUUCAAUUUACCAACAUACAGAAUAACACCCAGUGCUCAUCCCGUCAAGUGCCCCCCUCAGUGCCCGUCACCCAUUCACCCCCACCCCCCGCCCUCCUCCCCUUCCACCACCCCUAGUUUGUUUCCCAGUUAGGAGUCUUUUUCUUCUCCCUUCCCUUAUAUUCCCUUUCA
rnacentral:lncRNA from 1 species